rnacentral:rRNA from 1 species
GUGUGGUUGUUGCUGGCCCUCUCGGGGGCAUGUGCACACCCACCAUCCUCAUCUCUCCACCUGUGCACCUCUUGUAGACCUGGAUUGACUUUCCGAGGCAACUCGGUCGGGAAGAUUGCUGCGCUCUGUGAGCCAGCUUUCUUUGCAUGUCCAGGCCUAUGUUUUUCAUAUACCCCUAUAGAAUGUAACAGAAUGUAUCAUUGGGCCUUGUGCCUAUAAACCUUAUACAACUUUCAGCAACGGAUCUCUUGGCUCUCGCAUCGAUGAAGAACGCAGCGAAAUGCGAUAAGUAAUGUGAAUUGCAGAAUUCAGUGAAUCAUCGAAUCUUUGAACGCACCUUGCGCUCCUUGGUAUUCCGAGGAGCAUGCCUGUUUGAGUGUCAUUAAAUUCUCAACCUUAUUAACUUUUGUUGAUAAUGGAUUGGAUUGUGGGGGUUUCUUUUGCUGGCUUCUUCACAGAGAUCAGCUCCCCUUAAAUGCAUUAGCUGGUGCCCCGCGUGGACCAUCUAUUGGUGUGAUAAUUAUCUACGCCGUGGAUGUCUGCAAUCAUAUGGGUUUCGCACUGCUUCUAACCGUCUGUUCAUUCGGACAAUACAUGACAAUUUGACCUCAAAUCAGGUAGGACUACCCGCUGAACUUAAGCAUAUCAAUAAGCGGAGGAAAAGAAACUAACAAGGAUUCCCCUAGUAACUGCGAGUGAAGCGGGAAAAGCUCAAAUUUAAAAUCUGGCGGUCUCCGGCCGUCCGA